GACGAACGCUGGCGGCGUGCUUAACACAUGCAAGUCGAACGCUGAAGCUCAGCUUUUGUUGGGUGGAUGAGUGGCGAACGGGUGAGUAACACGUGAGUAACCUGCCCCCUUCUUUGGGAUAACGCCCGGAAACGGGUGCUAAUACUGGAUAUUCACUGGUCUUCGCAUGGGGGUUGGUGGAAAGGGUUUUUCUGGUGGGGGAUGGGCUCGCGGCCUAUCCGCUUGUUGGUGGGGUGAUGGCCUACCAAGGCUUUGACGGGUAGCCGGCCUGGGAGGGUGACCGGUCACAUUGGGACUGAGAUACGGCCCAGACUCCUACGGGAGGCAGCAGUGGGGAAUAUUGCACAAUGGGCGCAAGCCUGAUGCAGCGACGCCGCGUGAGGGAUGGAGGCCUUCGGGUUGUGAACCUCUUUCGCUCAUGGUCAAGCCGCAACAAUGGUUGUGGUGAGGGUAGUGGGUAAAGAAGCGCCGGCUAACUACGUG
rnacentral:rRNA from 1 species